GCAUCAGGUCUCCAAGGUUAAAAACCUCUGGUUAAUAGAAUAAUGUAGAUAAGGGAAGUCGGCAAAACUGAUCCGUAACUUCGGGAUAAGGAUUGGCUCUGACGACUGAGCUGGCUGGGCUGAAGUGUGACACAAGUUUUGUGUUUGCUUGCAGGCUGGCCAUCGCAGUGUGUGCGUUGCUCGCAAGAGCUUCGCGCUUCGCUUGCGGUGGACGGACUCGAGUGAUGCAUGAUCUUGUUGAUAGCUUUAGCUUUAGCUUGCUCUGGCCGAGCGAAAGUGAAUGUGGCAACACAUUUGCCGUAGUUUCGGCCAGUAGCUGGUAAUAGCGGCCAGCAAUAGACAGUUGAAUCAGAACUGGCACGGACCAGGGGAAUCCGACUGUCUAAUUAAAAC
rnacentral:rRNA from 1 species